UAAAUUUUAUUUAUUAAUUUUAUUUAUUUAAGUAUUAUAUUUAAUAAAAAUAAUUUUAAUUCAAUAUAGUUUUAGUAUUUUUUAAAGAAAUAAUAAUUUUAAUAAUAGUUUAUUUGUAUUGUAAAAGAAGAUUGAAAUAAUUUGAAAAAUUUUUAUUUUAAAAGAAAAUUUAAUUUAUUGUACCUUGUGUAUCAGGGUUUAUUAAUUAAUUAAUUAUUAUAGUAAUUUUUCUCGAAUUUUAAAGAUUUAAUUAUAUAUAAAAGUUAUUGUGGAAUAAUUAUUUUUAAUAUAUAAUUAGAAAUGAAAUGUUAAUCGUUUUAAAAUAUAUCUAGUUUUUUAAGAAAUAAAUUUAAUUUAGAUUUAUAAAUUAAAAGUAUUAUUUAUUUAAUAUUUUUAAUUUAUAAAAUUAAUAUUUUAAGGGAUUAGCUUUAAAAUAAAUUUUUAAAUUUUAAAAAAGUAUUUAAUAAAUGUAAGCUUAAAAAUAGUUAUCAUUAAUAAAUUUGUUAUAAUUUAUUUUAAAUUUUUUAUUAUUUAUUAUAAAAUUAAAUUAUUUAUUAAAAUAUAAAUUUUAAUAUUAAUGAUUUAUAAAUUAUGGUAAAAUUAGUAUAUUUAAUUUAUAUAAAUUAUUUAAAUUGAGAGGUUUAAAUAAGGAAUUCGGCAAAUUAUAUAUUCACCUGUUUAUCAAAAACAUGUCUUUUUGUAUUUAAUUUAAAGUCUAACCUGCCCACUGAUAGAUAUUAAAGGGCCGCAGUAUUUUGACUGUGCGAAGGUAGCAUAAUCAGUAGUCUUUUAAUUGAAGGCUUGUAUGAAUGGUUGAAUGAGAUAUAUACUGUCUUUUUUAAAUUUUUAUAGAAUUUUAUUUUUUAAUUAAAAAGUUAAAAUAUAAUUAAAAGACGAGAAGACCCUAUAGAUCUUUAUUUUUUUUAAUUAUAAGUUAAAAAGAAUAAUUAAAUUUAUAGUUUUAUAAAAAAUUUUACUGGGGUGGUAUUAAAAUUUAAUUAACUUUUAUUAUUUGUUUACAUUAAUAUAUGUAUAUUUGAUCCAAUUUUAUUGAUUAAAAAAUUAAGUUACCUUAGGGAUAACAGCGUAAUUUUUUUUUAGAGUUCUUAUCGAUAAAAAAGAUUGCGACCUCGAUGUUGGAUUAAGAAUUAUUUUUAGGUGUAGAAGUUUAAAGUUUAGGUCUGUUCGACCUUUGAAUUCUUACAUGAUCUGAGUUCAAACCGGCGUAAGCCAGGUUGGUUUCUAUCUUUAAUAAAUUAUUAUAUUAUAGUACGAAAGGACCUAAUAUAAAAAAUAUAAAUUUUAAAUUUAUGAAUUAUAUUAAUAUUUAAUAA
rnacentral:rRNA from 1 species